UACGUAGGGUGCGAGCGUUAAUCGGAAUUACUGGGCGUAAAGCGUGCGUAGGCGGUUCGUUAAGUUUGUUGUGAAAGCCCCGGGCUCAACCUGGGAAUGGCAAUGGAAACUGGCGGGCUUGAGUGUGGCAGAGGGGGGUGGAAUUCCGCGUGUAGCAGUGAAAUGCGUAGAGAUGCGGAGGAACACCGAUGGCGAAGGCAGCCCCCUGGGCCAACACUGACGCUCAGGCACGAAAGCGUGGGGAGCAAACAGG
rnacentral:rRNA from 1 species